CCCGGCCCGCGCCCCGCCCGGCCCGGGCUCCGCGUCCGCGCGGCCGCCUCACCACAGCUUCCUCUUGAGCGGCAGGAGGCUGCCGCGGUUGGAGGGGGUGACGCCGAUGGCCAUCUGCAGCACCGUCAGAAACAUUCAGAAUAAUGUCUGACCCCCCCGUGUAGAUCUGAAAAACAAGGAAUGAAGAGGAAAGAAAGUGGUGGAGAUCAGGACAAGACAAGCUUCCUGCUCUCAUCGCCUCGAUUUGACAUUGUGAUGGUGGUCCCAGCCAAUCAGACGCCGAGGUAGACUUUGCUUUGCUUUCCUCUGUGACAUCUUCCUCCUACCACAUCAGAGAAAGCCCUGAGGCCAAGCAGGUCCAGCAGGUGCAUGGAAGGACUCCCUUCCUCUCCACGGUAAGAGAUGGUUUAAGCUACAAGGAAUACCUGGAUAUUCCAAUAGCAGCUGAAAGAAUCCACCCAAUCCACAAAGCACGGAUUUCGAGCCUAGCCUCUUGCCAAAGACAGAAUGUAUCUGCUGCUGGCCUCAGGCAAUACACCCCUUGACUUGACUCUGAGAUGAAAGAGGCUGGAAGGAAAUGUGGCAUGAGGACAAAAGGCACGGGUUGAAUAUUUGUAAACGACUCUCUCCAUUACCACUGUUUUAUAGUCUUGAGGAGAAAACAAGAGAAAGCAACAAACAAUUACAUAAUUCAGUAGUUCAGUGGAUAAAGAGAACCAGUAAGAGCAUAGGCUCUCUCAAUUACAAAAUGAAGCAUUAACCGUGUUUCGAAUGUUAACUGUGUGUCUGACUCUGCCUGGACAGCUGGAAUGCCGGCGACUGUACGUGCAUUUAUAUUUGCCAGUUGUGUGUCUUCCUCCUUUCAACCUCACACAGGUAAUUUAUGUUGACGCUCACAAGAGAAAAUGAGUACUUAAAUGUCAGGGCAUGUGACUUGCUUUCUAGGACACACUGUAACUUGCAGAGCACUGAGUCAGCAGUCCAAUGGCUUAGUCUUCAUACUCCUGACAGCUGUUUAUUUCUUUCAGUGUAAUUUCAGAGAAUAAUAUCCAGAAGGGAUUCGCUGCCCUAGAUCUAUCAGAAAACAUAUUUAAGAUAUUAUGUAGUUUUAUAGAACAAAAAUCUAACACUAAAUAAUCACAUCAUAACAGGGUUACAAUUUCAGUAAUUUCUCUUAAAUCAGGCACAAGGGUGUUUAAAGCACACAACUAAUACUUUGUAGAGAUUUAAUGAGAUGAUGCAUAGGAACAGUAAGGGAUGAGACAUUUUUUCCAGUACUAUUUUAAAACAAUAAGAGAAUAAUAGCAUUUGAAAGAAACUUUCCAAUCUAUUUGAUUCAGGCCCCUGCUUUCUGUAUUUAAAAAGCUUAGUCAUUGGCUUCUGGCAGAUCAGAAAGAAUUCUCAAAGAUCAGGAGGCCUUGGGGUCCUAGCUAGUGAUGCAUAAAGGACCCCAGGUCAAGAAGUCUAAGCCCAUCAGGAUCAGAUUGAAAGUAGGAACCUGAGCAACAGGCCAAAUUGGGACUUAGGAGGUCCUCUAGGCAAAAUCAGUCCCUGGAAAGGAAGAUUGGAGCAGAAGCCAGUGGCUCCAGCAGGCAAGAGAAAGCAGACAGCAGUUUUCAUCUGCAAGGUAACCGACUGCUCUGAUACCAGCUCUGCCUCCCUAAAUGCUUCAGGUAUGAAGCAACUCCUAAGAAAAGAACUAAAAUUAAAACUAUCAAAAAUUAAAAGAAUCAAAAUUGCCGGGUGCGGUGGCUCAUGCCUGUCAUCCCAGCACUUUGGGAGGCCAAGGCAGGUGGAUCAUGAGGUCAAGAGAUCGAGACCAUCCUGGUCAACGUGGUGAAACCCCGUCUCUACUAAAAAUACAAAAAAUUAGCUGGGCAUGGUGG